rnacentral:rRNA from 1 species
UACGAAGGGAGCUAGCGUUGCUCGGAAUCACUGGGCGUAAAGGGUGCGUAGGCGGGUCUUUAAGUCAGGGGUGAAAUCCUGGAGCUCAACUCCAGAACUGCCUUUGAUACUGAAGAUCUUGAGUCCGGGAGAGGUGAGUGGAACUGCGAGUGUAGAGGUGAAAUUCGUAGAUAUUCGCAAGAACACCAGUGGCGAAGGCGGCUCACUGGCCCGGUACUGACGCUGAGGCACGAAAGCGUGGGGAGCAAACAGG